AACGAACGCUGGCGGCAUGCCUAACACAUGCAAGUCGAACGAGACCUUCGGGUCUAGUGGCGCACGGGUGCGUAACGCGUGGGAACCUGCCCUUAGGUUCGGAAUAACUCCCCGAAAGGGGUGCUAAUACCGGAUAAUGUCUUCGGACCAAAGAUUUAUCGCCUUUGGAUGGGCCCGCGUUGGAUUAGCUAGUUGGUAGGGUAAAAGCCUACCAAGGCGACGAUCCAUAGCUGGUCUGAGAGGAUGAUCAGCCACACUGGGACUGAGACACGGCCCAGACUCCUACGGGAGGCAGCAGUGGGGAAUAUUGGACAAUGGGCGAAAGCCUGAUCCAGCAAUGCCGCGUGAGUGAUGAAGGCCUUAGGGUUGCAAAGCUCUUUUACCCGGGAUGAUAAUGGCAGUACCGGGAGAAUAAGCUCCGGCUAACUCCGUG
rnacentral:rRNA from 1 species